UACGAAGGGGGCUAGCGUUGUUCGGAAUUACUGGGCGUAAAGCGCGUGUAGGCGGGCCCUUAAGUCCGGGGUGAAAUGCCAAGGCUCAACCUUGGAACUGCCUUUGAUACUGGGGAUCUUGAGUCCGGGAGAGGUGAGUGGAACUGCGAGUGUAGAGGUGAAAUUCGUAGAUAUUCGCAAGAACACCAGUGGCGAAGGCGGCUCACUGGCCCGGAACUGACGCUGAGACGCGAAAGCGUGGGGAGCAAACAGG
rnacentral:rRNA from 1 species